rnacentral:misc_RNA from 1 species
UCUGCAAGCCCAGCAAGAGCAAGCAAAAACAUUUGCCGAGAAGGAUGUUCUGAGGCAGUCCUAUAAAGCUACCCUGGAAACAUCAGCAAAUAAACUUCUUGCAUUGAAAAAUGAGUUUGAUCCUGAACUUGCCCGGAAUCUUGAAAAGCAACUGGCUGAAACAAUGAAUGAGAUUGAUGCUCUGCAAAAGCAGAUGGAAAAUGCUAAGGCUUCCGAUCUUGAUUCAGUGAGAACAGUCACUUCAGAGCUUGAUGGUGCUAAGGAGUCAUUGCAGAAAGUAGCAGAAGAGGAAAGCUCCUUGCGAAGUUUGUUGGAUUCUCUUAAGCUGGAACUUGAGAAUGUGAAGAAGCAGCAU